rnacentral:rRNA from 1 species
CAGCUCGNGUUACUCGCCGAAUGCACCUAGCAGCUUUAAUUUGAUCAUGGCCUCAGAAUUGNACGNUGGGUUACAGUGCCUAACACAUGCAAGUCGAAGCGGCAUGCACAAGGUGAGUUUACUCCUGAUGUGUCGGCGAGCGGCGGACGGUGUGAGGUAAUGCCUAGUGGACUCUUGCCCAUGGUCGAAGCGGGGGUAACAGUUGGAACAGCGACUGCUAACUAUCCCGCUAUACUGCCGCUACGUGGGUGAAGAUGAGGGGUGACCUUCUGUGGCCUCUCGCGAUUUUGUGNACUUGAAGCCCGUAGNGGUGGGGAAUUAUGACGUAUGGUUUGGUUGAUGGUGUACACUGUGGCUCACCAAAAAGACGACCGAUCCCGUAUGCUGAUUCUUGAUGGAGUGAUUGACUCCAGGCUCAGCACCUUGGGGGACUUGAGACACGGNCCCGGGUACUCCCUAACGCGGGAGGGCCAAGGCGAAGAUGUGCGGCAGACUACUUGCGAACACAGAUGCGAGCGCGNACAGAACCCCCCUGAUUGCAAGGCCCAUUGUCGCUUGCUGNUUGUUGA